UGGGGUCUCCCCGCCCCGCCCCGCGCCGAGCUCUGCCCCCCGGUCUUCUUCCCUCUUGCCCCGGCCUCAGCCCGAGGUUUCUGGGCCGCAGGAAGAGCCCGUCUGCAGCGCCCGCUCCUCUCCGGCUCCUGUCCGGUCUCCAGCGGGGCUCUGUCGCCCCUCUCCGCAGCCCGCACAGGUUAUCUAUCUGGCGUGUUGGCUUGGUGUCCCAUCGGGCAGGUACAGACAGUGCGCGACUGGGAAUUACGGCGAUGGGAAUAGCCUCGUGCACAGCACAUCCUAGCAAAGGGUGACGGUGCCUGUGUGUAUGUGACUCUACCAAGCUGCCUGGCUAGACUGUGUUUGUCCCUGGUGUCAAAAAGACCACUCUGAAUGCUC